rnacentral:lncRNA from 1 species
AUUUUUAAUAACAAUUAAAAGCAUCAAACCAUCAUAAUCGAUCUCAACCAAACAUGGCCUCUUUAUAUACCCAAAUCAACCCACAGAUGCAUCUUCACUUCACUUCUCAGAUCUAGUACAUCUCAAUCAAAUCUUGCCUCUUUGCAUACCCAGAUCCAAAAAAGAAGAAAUCAAAGCAAACUCUUUACAUCUUUUCUUCUCCUUUUUUUUUAUUUUCUUCUCUCAAAUCUGGCGAUUUUUUUUGCUAGCGACAAUUGUGGAAGCAUAAAGGUUGUGAAUUUUGGAGGUGCGGUUGGGAUGAGAAGUGAAAUAUGAUCAAGGAUGAUGAUUUCACAGUCAUGUAUAUAUGUGUAUACAGGGAGAAAAUUAAAGGUAUUAGAAGAUUUGAUGAUUGCUUGAAUAUUGGGUUGAUUUGUAGUGAGAGGAAUAAAGAAUUUGGGUGAGAUUUAUAGUGGGGGUUUUAGCAAAGAGAGAAAAAUGAGUGAGUGGAGAAGAAGAAACCAGGCGCGGUUUUUUCAGUACACAAUUUUAUCCGACAGAGGCGGUCAUGUAGUUCCGAUCGAUGGUGAUGGUGGAAUUUGUGAGUUUUUUAUGGUGUAAUUAUUUUUAUUUUUUGGUACGAAAAUAUGUUUAUCCUUCCGAAAUUCUGGAUUGAACUAGCUCUUAAAACAUCUGUCUUUGUAGAUCUUAAAAAUUUCUUGCGGAAUUUUUUCUUUUGGUGGUGUAAUGUUGGUGAUAAUGGUGAGCAGAGGUGAUGAUAGUGGUGGGCAUGUGUUGUGGUGAUAGGGAAGAUGAGUGGGUUAACAAAUUUGCCUAAUUUCUUAAAUCUAUAAUUUCAGUAAAUAAUAAUUUUUUGUCUUUUAAUCUUUCAUUUUGGUUUUGGUUUCAUUUGAUAUUGUUGGUUUGGGUUUACAAUUUGGUUGCUGAUUUGAGUUUGCAAUCCAAUCCGUUGUUUUUCAUUAAUAUUAAUGUAUAAUAUAAAGUGAUUUGACGAGUUUGCCCUUUAAAUGUGUUA